rnacentral:rRNA from 1 species
UACGUAGGGGGCAAGCGUUGUCCGGAUUUACUGGGCGUAAAGGGCGCGUAGGCGGAUAGUUAAGUUGGGGGUGAAAGCCCGGGGCUCAACCUCGGAAUUGCCUUCAAUACUGGCUAUCUUGAGUACGGGAGAGGUGUGUGGAACUCCGAGUGUAGAGGUGAAAUUCGUAGAUAUUCGGAAGAACACCAGUGGCGAAGGCGACACACUGGCCCGUUACUGACGCUGAGGCGCGAAAGCGUGGGGAGCAAACAGG